rnacentral:rRNA from 1 species
UACGUAGGAGGCGAGCGUUGUCCGGAAUCACUGGGCGUAAAGGGCGCGUAGGUGGCCUGUGGAAGUCUGCGGUGAAAGCCCGGCGCUCAACGCCGGGUCGGCCGUGGAUACUCUCGGGCUUGAGCUUACUAGAGGCAGAUGGAAUUCCGGGUGUAGCGGUGGAAUGCGUAGAGAUCCGGAAGAACACCGGUGGCGAAGGCGGUCUGCUGGGCAGUAGCUGACACUGAGGCGCGACAACGUGGGGAGCAAACAGG